ACCCUUUAAUGUUUGAUGUUCUAACGUGGACCCGUAAUCCGGGUUGCGGACAGUGUCUGGUGGGUAGUUUGACUGGGGCGGUCUCCUCCUAAAGAGUAACGGAGGAGCACGAAGGUUGGCUAAUCCUGGUCGGACAUCAGGAGGUUAGUGCAAUGGCAUAAGCCAGCUUGACUGCGAGCGUGACGGCGCGAGCAGGUGCGAAAGCAGGUCAUAGUGAUCCGGUGGUUCUGAAUGGAAGGGCCAUCGCUCAACGGAUAAAAGGUACUCCGGGGAUAACAGGCUGAUACCGCCCAAGAGUUCAUAUCGACGGCGGUGUUUGGCACCUCGAUGUCGGCUCAUCACAUCCUGGGGCUGAAGUAGGUCCCAAGGGUAUGGCUGUUCGCCAUUUAAAGUGGUACGCGAGCUGGGUUUAGAACGUCGUGAGACAGUUCGGUCCCUAUCUGCCGUGGGCGCUGGAGAACUGAGGGGGGCUGCUCCUAGUACGAGAGGACCGGAGUGGACGCAUCACUGGUGUUCGGGUUGUCAUGCCAAUGGCACUGCCCGGUAGCUAAAUGCGGAAGAGAUAAGUGCUGAAAGCAUCUAAGCACGAAACUUGCCCCGAGAUGAGUUCUCCCUGAGACUUUAGGUCUCCUGAAGGAACGUUGAAGACGACGACGUUGAUAGGCCGGGUGUGUAAGCGCAGCGAUGCGUUGAGCUAACCGGUACUAAUGAACCGUGAGGCUUAACCUUACA
rnacentral:rRNA from 3 species